rnacentral:rRNA from 1 species
UACAGAGGGUGCUAGCGUUGUUCGGAAUCAUUGGGCGUAAAGAGCGUGUAGGCGGCCAUACAGGUCAGCUGUGAAAACUCGAGGCUCAACCUCGAGACGUCGGUUGAAACCGUGUGGCUAGAGUCCGGAAGAGGAGAGUGGAAUUCCCGGUGUAGCGGUGAAAUGCGCAGAUAUCGGGAAGAACACCCGUGGCGAAGGCGGCUCUCUGGGACGGUACUGACGCUGAGACGCGAAAGCGUGGGGAGCGAACAGG